rnacentral:rRNA from 1 species
GKCUCAGAUUGAACGCUGGCGGCAGGCCUCACACAUGCAAGUMGAGCGGUAGCACAGUGAGCUUGCUCUUGGGUGACGAGCGGCGGACGGGUGAGUAAUGUCUGGGAAACUGCCUGAUGGAGGGGGAUAACUACUGGAAACGGUAGCUAAUACCGCAUAACGUCGCAAGACCAAAGAGGGGGACCUUCGGGCCUCUUGCCAUCAGAUGUGCCCAGAUGGGAUUAGCUAGUAGGUGGGGUAACGGCUCACCUAGGCGACGAUCCCUAGCUGGUCUGAGAGGAUGACCAGCCACACUGGAACUGAGACACGGUCCAGACUCCUACGGGAGGCAGCAGUGGGGAAUAUUGCACAAUGGGCGCAAGCCUGAUGCAGCCAUGCCGCGUGUAUGAAGAAGGCCUUCGGGUUGUAAAGYACUUUCAGCGGGGAGGAAGGCGUUGAGGUUAAUAACCUCAGCGAUUGACGUUACCCGCAGAAGAAGCACCGGCUAACUCCGUGCCAGCAGCCGCGGUAAUACGGAGGGUGCAAGCGUUAAUCGGAAUUACUGGGCGUAAAGCGCACGCAGGCGGUCUGUCAAGUCGGAUGUGAAAUCCCCGGGCUCAACCUGGGAACUGCAUUCGAAACUGGCAGGCUAGAGUCUUGUAGAGGGGGGUAGAAUUCCAGGUGUAGCGGUGAAAUGCGUAGAGAUCUGGAGGAAUACCGGUGGCGAAGGCGGCCCCCUGGACAAAGACUGACGCUCAGGGCGAAAGCGGAC